UGCCAGGCUGAUCCAUACCAGGCUGAGCUGUGCCAGGCUAACCUAUAGGCUAAGCUAUGCUGGACCAACCUGUGCCAGGCUGAGCCGUGCCAGGCUGAGCUGUGCCAGGCUGAUCCAUGCCAGGCUGAGCUGUGCCAGGCUAACCUAUAGGCUAAGCUAUGCUGGACCAACCUGUGCCAGGCUGAUCCAUGCCAGGCUGAUCCAUGCCAGGCUAACCUAUGCUGGACCAACCUGUGCCAGGCUGAGCCGUGCCAGGUCAAGCCGUGCCAGGCUGAUCCAUGCCAGGUCAAGCCGUGCCAGGCUGAGCUGUGCCAGGCUAACCUAUAGGCUAAGCUAUGCUGGACCAACCUGUGCCAGGCUGAUCCAUGCCAGUCUGAUCCAUGCCAGGCUGAGCCAUGCCAGGCUGAGCCGUGCCAGGCUAACCCAUGCUGGACCAACCCGUGCCAGGCUGAUCCAUCCUAGGCUGAUCCAUGCCAGGCUGAGCCGUGCCAGGCUAAGCUAUGCUGGACCAACCUGUGCCAGGCUGAUCCAUGCCAGGCUAACCUAUAGGCUAACCUAUGCUGGACCAACCUGUGCCAGGCUGAGCCGUGCCAGGCUGAGCCAUGCCAGGCUAACAUAUAGGCUAAGCUAUGCUGGACCAACCUGUGCCAGGCUGAUCCAUGCCAGGCUGAGCCGUGCCAGGCUGAGCCAUGCUAGGCUGAUCCAUGCCAGGCUAACCUAUAGGCUAAGCUAUGCUGGACCAACCUGUGCCAGGCUGAGCUGUGCCAGGCUGAGCCAUGCCAGGCUAACCUAUGCUGGACCAACCCGUGCCAGGCUGAUCCAUGCCAGGCUGAGCCAUGCCAGGCUAACCUAUAGGCUAAGCUAUGCUGUACCAACCCGUGCCAGGCUGAGCCGUGCCAGGCUGCACCAUGCUAUUCCAUGCUAUGAGCCGGUCCAACGCGUUCUGUGCCGGUCCGGGCAGAUCGGAGCUGUUCCGUUCCGUGCCGUGUUACACCCAGCGCAGCCCCGGCCGCUCCGUGCGGUACCGGGCCGGACCGGAUCGUACCGUCCCGCACCGGGCCGUGCCCUCCAGCCGUGGGGAGGAACGGACCGGUGCCAGCCGUGUCCCGGAGCGGAGCUGCCGCCGCGCCCCAUCGCGCUCCGUUCCUGUUUUUCCCGUCACGGUUUGUUCUGAAUUAUGCAAAGGGGGAAAUUCCCCC
rnacentral:lncRNA from 1 species